rnacentral:rRNA from 1 species
UACGUAGGGAGCAAGCGUUGUUCGGAUUUACUGGGCGUAAAGGGCGCGUAGGCGGCGCGGUAAGUCACUUGUGAAAUCUCUGAGCUUAACUCAGAACGGCCAAGUGAUACUGCAGUGCUUGAGUGUGGAAGGGGCAAUCGGAAUUCUUGGUGUAGCGGUGAAAUGCGUAGAUAUCAAGAGGAACACCUGAGGUGAAGACGGGUUGCUGGGCCAACACUGACGUGAUGCGGCGAAAGCCAGGGGGAGCAAACGGG